CAAUAGCGUAUAUUAAAGUUGUUGCAGUUAAAAGCUCGUAGUUGGAUUUGUGGUGGCAGGUGCGGUCCAAUUUUGGUACUUUCGCUUGCCGCCAUCCUUGGGUGGAACCUGUGUGGCAUUAGGUUGUCGUGCAGGGGAUGCCCAUCGUUUACUGUGAAAAAUCAGCGCGUUCAAAGCAGGCUUAUGCCGUUGAAUGUAUUAGCAUGGAAUAAUAAGAUAGGACCUUGGUACUAUUUUGUUGGUUUGCGCACCGAGGUAAUGAUUAAUAGGGACAGUUGGGGGUAUUCGUAUUCCAUUGUCAGAGGUGAAAUUCUUGGAUUUCUGGAAGACGAACUACUGCGAAAGCAUUUACCAAGGAUGUUUUCAUUAAUCAAGAACGAAAGUUAGGGGAUCGAAGACGAUCAGAUACCAU
rnacentral:rRNA from 1 species